GACGAACGCUGGCGGCGUGGAUUAGGCAUGCAAGUCGAACGGUAUCAUCCUUUCGGGGGUGAGAGAGUGGCGAACUGGUGAGUAACACGUAGGUUAUCUACCCUCAAGACGGGGACAACCCAGGGAAACUUGGGCUAAUACCGGAUGUGAGCAACUUUUAGUUGUUUGAAAGGUGGCGUAAGCUGUCGCUUGGGGAUGAGCCUGCGUCCUAUUAGUUAGUUGGUGAGGUAACGGCUCACCUAGGCAAUGAUAGGUAGGCGGCCUUAACGGGUGGUCGCCCACACUGGGAUUGAGAUACGGCCCAGACUCCUACGGGAGGCAGCAGUCGAGAAUAGUCUACAAUGGUCGGAAGACUGAUAGUGCGACGCCGCGUGAACGAUGAAUCCCUUCGGGUGUAAAGUUCUUUUAUAUGUGAGCAGUGCUUCUUAUAUUAACAGUAUGGGGAGAGAGAUAUUAGCAUAAUGAAUAAAGCAACGGCUAACUCCGUGCCAGCAGCCGCGGUAAA
rnacentral:rRNA from 1 species